AUGCCAAGCGCCUCGUCUAGGGACUCUGCACCGUUCCCCUGCUUUCUCCCUUGUGUCUCUUCCCUCCCUCCUGUGCUGAUCUACCUUCCCGUCUCUCUCCUCUUGCAGCAAUCAGCAGGAACCCUGGCAGCCGAGCUUCGCAGCGCCGCCCUCGACCAGGAGCUCCGCCUGACUCCAUGGCCGUCGUCCCGAACCUCUCCUUCGCCCGCGCUGCCGCCAUGGAUUGGAUCCGGCCGGAGCUGCUCAUCCGCCUCACCUCCCGUCCUGGCUGCAAGCUACCGCCGCCCGGAUCCUCCCUGA
rnacentral:rRNA from 1 species